rnacentral:rRNA from 1 species
AUUCAGCAGCCGCGGUAAUACGGAGGGUGCAAGCAUUAAUCGGAUUUAUUGGGCGUAAAGGGCGCGUAGGUGGUAUAUCAAGUCACAUGUGAAAUUCCAAGGCUCAACCUUGGCGCUGCAUGUGAAACUGAUAUUCUAGAGGUAAGGCGGAGAAAACGGAAUUUCCCGUGUAGCGGUGAAAUGCGUGGAUAUGGGAAGGAACACCGGUGGCGAAGGCGGUUUUCUAGCCUUUACCUGACACUGAGGCGCGAAAGCGAGAGGAGCAAACAGGAUUAGAUACCCUGGUAGUCCUCGCUGUAAACGUUGCAUACUUGAUGUGAUUGGGCUCAACCCCAAUUGUGUCGGAGCUAACGCGAUAAGUAUGCCGCCUGGGGAGUACGCUCGCAAGGGUGAAACUCAAAAGAAUUGACGGGGGCCCGCACAAGCAGUGGAGCAUGUGGUUUAAUUCGAUGCAACGCGAAGAACCUUACCCAGACUUGACAUGCAGAGUACGAUAUGAGAGAUCAUAUUUCCUUUAGGGGGCUCUGUGCAGGUGCUGCAUGGCUGUCGUCAGCUCGUGCCGUGAGGUGUUGGGUUAAGUCCCGCAACGAGCGCAACCCUUAUCGUUAGUUGCCAACAGUUCGGCUGGGAACUCUAACGAGACUGCCUAGGUUAACUAGGAGGAAGGUGAGGAUGACGUCAAGUCAGCAUGGCCCUUAUGUCUGGGGCUACGCACGUGCUACAAUGGUAGGUACAGAGGGUCGCCAAACCGUGAGGUGGAGCAAAUCCCAAAAAACCUAUCUCAGUUCGGAUUGUAGUCUGCAAUUUGACUACAUGAAGCUGGGAAUUGCUAGUAAUGGCGCGUCAGCAAUAGCGCCGUGAAUACGUUCUCGGGCCUUGUACACACCGCCCGUCACAUCAUGGAAGUUGGUUUUACCCGAAGUCGCUGACUUAACCGCAAGGAAAGAAGCGCCGAAGGUGAGGCUGAUGACUGGGAUGAAGUCGUAACAAGGUAACCAAU